UACGUAGGGCGCAAGCGUUGUCCGGAAUUAUUGGGCGUAAAGAGCUCGUAGGCGGUCUGUCACGUCUGCCGUGAAAACCCGAGGCUUAACCUCGUGGCUUGCGGGUGGAUACGGGCAGACUAGAGGUAGGUAGGGGAGAACGGAAUUCCCGGUGUAGCGGUGAAAUGCGCAGAUAUCGGGAGGAACACCGGUGGCGAAGGCGGUUCUCUGGGCCUUACCUGACGCUGAGGAGCGAAGCAUGGGAGCGAACAGGAUAGAUACC
rnacentral:rRNA from 1 species